UUACCCAAUGAAAACAGUUUCGAGGUAGUGACGAGAAAUAACAAUACAGGGCAUUUUAUGCUCUGUAAUUGGAAUGAUGGGAAUGUAAAACCCUUCCAGAGUAACAAUUGGAGGGCAAGUCUGGUGCCAGCAGCCGCGGUAAUUCCAGCUCCAAUAGUGUAUAUUAGAGUUGUUGCAGUUAAAAAGCUCGUAGUUGGAUUUCUGCUGUGGUCAUCCGGUACCGCCCGUAUGGGUGCGCACCUGGUUUGGCUGCGGCUUUCUUCCUGUAGCCGUACGCGCUUAAUUGCGUGUGUUGCGUUACGGAACUUUUACUUUGAGAAAAAUAGAGUGUUUCAAGCAGGCUUGUCGCCCUGAAUACUUCAGCAUGGAAUAAUAGGAUAGGACCUUGGUUCUAUUUUGUUGGUUUCUAGGACCAAGGUAAUGAUUAAUAGGGACAGUUGGGGGCAUUCGUAUUUAACUGUCAGAGGUGAAAUUCUUAGAUUUGUUAAAGACGAACUACUGCGAAAGCAUUUGCCAAGGAUGUUUUCAUUAAUCAAGAACGACAGUAGGGGGUUUGAAGACGAUUAGAUACCGUCGUAAUCUCUACCAUAAACUAUGCCGACUAGAGAUAGGGAAAUGCCUACCUUGGCUUCUCCUG
rnacentral:rRNA from 1 species